CUUAAUACAUGCAAGUCGAACGAAGCACUUUAAAGAGCUUGCUCUUAAAAGUGACUGAGUGGCGGACGGGUGAGUAACGCGUGGGUAACCUGCCUCAUACAGGGGGAUAACAGUUAGAAAUGACUGCUAACACCGCAUAACCCGCUAGCAUCGCAUGAUGCAGACGGAAAAUAUUAAUAGGUAUGAGAUGGGCCCGCGUCUGAUUAGCUAGUUGGUGGGGUAACAGCCUACCAAGGCGACGAUCAGUAGCCGACCUGAGAGGGUGAUCGGCCACAUUGGGACUGAGACACGGCCCAAACUCCUACGGGGGGCAGCAGUGGGGAAUAUUGGACAAUGGGGGAAACCCUGAUCCAGCGACGCCGCGUGAGUGAAGAAGUAUUUCGGUAUGUAAAGCUCUAUCAGCAGGGAAGAAUAAAUGACGGUACCUGACUAAGAAGCUCCGGCUAACUACGUGCCAGCAGCCGCGGUAAUACGUAGGGAGCGAGCGUUAUCCGGAUUUACUGGGUGUAAAGGGUGCGUAGGCGGUCUGGUAAGUCUAAAGUGAAAUUUCGGGGCUCAACCCCGGAGCUGCUUUGGAAAACUGCCUGGACUAGAGUAUAGGAGAGGAAAGCGGAACUCCACGUGUAGCGGUGAAAUGCGUAGAGAUGUGGAGGAACACCAGUAGCGAAGGCGGCUUUCUGGACUAUUACUGACGCUGAGGCACGAAAGCAUGGGGAGCAAACAGGAUUAGAUACCCUGGUAGUCCAUGCCGUAAACGAUGAAUGCUAGGUGUCGGGGCUCACGGGUCUCGGUGCCGAAGUUAACACAUUAAGCAUUCCACCUGGGAAGUACGACCGCAAGGUUGAAACUCAAAGGAAUUGACGGGGACCCGCACAAGCGGUGGAGCAUGUGGUUUAAUUCGAAGCAACGCGAAGAACCUUACCUAAACUUGACAUCCUUCUGAAACACUAUGUAAAGUAGUGCCUUAGUGCUUGCACUAACAGAAGUGACAGGUGGUGCAUGGUUGUCGUCAGCUCGUGUCGUGAGAUGUUGGGUUAAGUCCCGCAACGAGCGCAACCCUUAUUCUUAGUAGCCAGCAUUAAGUUGGGCACUCUAGGGAGACUGCCAGGGAUAACCUGGAGGAGGGUGGGGAUGACGUCAAAUCAUCAUGCCCCUUAUGUUUAGGGCUACACACGUGCUACAAUGGCUGCUACAAAGUGAAGCAAGUCCGCAAGGCCAAGCAAACCACAAAAAAGCAGUCCCAGUUCGGAUUGUAGUCUGCAACUCGACUACAUGAAGUUGGAAUCGCUAGUAAUCGCGAAUCAGAAUGUCGCGGUGAAUACGUUCCCGGGUCUUGUACACACCGCCCGUCACACCAUGGGAGUUGGUAACACCCGAAGUCAGUGACCUAACCGUAAGGAAGGAGCUGCCGAAGGUGGGAUCAAUAACUGGGGUGAAGUCGUAA
rnacentral:rRNA from 1 species